CCGCCACAGUCGCGAGCGAGCGCGGCGCAGGGGAGCGCGGCCCAGAGGCGGCGGCGGCGGAGGCAGGAUGGAAUGUUCUCUGCAUGUCCUCUUGAUCCUGCUAAUCCAGUGAGCGAUCUUCACCAGGACUAAAUGUUGAACCUGUCCAUACUAGUGGAAAUGUAACUGGAACCAAUCUGACGAUAAAACCAAGGCCCUUCAGACGAGAUCACAUAGGAGGAAUCCCUGCUUCCAAAUGAAGACACCACAUUCAGAGUUUCUACUUAUUCAGAGGUACUGAGGCACAGUUUUACUGAACUUGACUUGUUGGUAGUGAUUUUAUGAUGUUGAUUUCUGUAUGUAGGUUUUAUAAGUUUAAAUGUUCUUACAUGUUAGAGUGUUUAGCUUUUAAAAACAGUUCACUGCUCCUCAAGUCCUGCCUCACUCCACUUUCCCCAAAACCCAGCAGAGAAAAAAAUUUUGAUUUUGGAAGAUAGGUUUCUUCUAACUAACAAAAUCUGUCAAUGAUAAGAAACAGGUUGAAGAGUGGGAUGCAGUAAACUAGCACUGAAGCAGAUGUUACCUGAGAGUCCUACGCACACCUGCAUUCC